GAGCGAGGCCCACCUUCGGGGUGGUGCCCUAGCGGCGAACGGGUGAGUAACACGUGGGCAACCUGCCCUCAGCUCUGGGAUAACUCCAAGAAAUUGGUGCUAAUACCGGAUGUGACCGCUGACCGCAUGGUCUGGUGGUGGAAAGAUUCAUCGGCUGAGGAUGGGCCCGCGGCCUAUCAGCUUGUUGGUGGGGUAGUGGCCCACCAAGGCGACGACGGGUAGCCGGCCUGAUAGGGUGACCGGCCACACUGGGACUGAGACACGGCCCAUACUCCUACGGGAGGCAGCAGUGGGGAAUAUUGCGCAAUGGGCGAAAGCCUGACGCAGCGACGCCGCGUGAGGGAUGACGGCCUUCGGGUUGUAAACCUCUUUCAGUAGGGACGAAGCGAAAGUGACGGUACCUACAGAAGAAGCACCGGCCAACUACGUGCCAGCAGCCGCGGUAAUACGUAGGGUGCAAGCGUUGUCCGGAAUUAUUGGGCGUAAAGAGCUCGUAGGCGGUCUGUCGCGUCGGCUGUGAAAACCCGAGGCUCAACCUCGGGCCUGCAGUCGAUACGGGCAAACUAUAGUACUGCAGGGGAGACUGGAAUUCCUGGUGUAGCGGUGAAAUGCGCAGAUAUCAGGAGGAACACCGGUGGCGAAGGCGGGUCUCUGGGCAGUAACUGACGCUGAGGAGCGAAAGCGUGGGGAGCGAACAGGAUUAGAUACCCUGGUAGUCCACGCCGUAAACGUUGGGCGGUAGGUGUGGGGGCCAUUCCACGGUCUCCGUUGCCCGCAGCUAACGCAUUAAGCGCCCCGCCUGGGGAGUACGGCCGCAAGGCUAAAACUCAAAGGAAUUGACGGGGGCCCGCACAAGCGGCGGAGCAUGUUGCUUAAUUCGAUGCAACGCGAAGAACCUUACCUAGGCUUGACAUGCACGGAAAUCUCGUAUAGAUACGGGGUGCCUUUGGCGUCGUGCACAGGUGGUGCAUGGUUGUCGUCAGCUCGUGUCGUGAGAUGUUGGGUUAAGUCCCGCAACGAGCGCAACCCUCGUUCUAUGUUGCCAGCACGUGAUGGUGGGGACUCAUAGGAGACUGCCGGGGUCAACUCGGAGGAAGGUGGGGAUGACGUCAAAUCAUCAUGCCCCUUAUGUCUAGGGCUGCAAACAUGCUACAAUGGCCGGUACAAAGGGCUGCGAUACCGCGAGGUGGAGCGAAUCCCAAAAAGCCGGUCUCAGUUCGGAUUGGGGUCUGCAACUCGACCCCAUGAAGUUGGAGUCGCUAGUAAUCGCAGAUCAGCAACGCUGCGGUGAAUACGUUCCCGGGCCUUGUACACACCGCCCGUCACGUCACGAAAG
rnacentral:rRNA from 1 species